AGGCACGUAGCUCAAUUGGUCAGAGCAGCGGUCUCCAAAGCCGCCGGCUGCAGGUUCGAGUCCUGCCGUGUCUGCAACCA
rnacentral:tRNA from 2 species